GCCCAGGUGGUGGAAUUGGUAGACACGCAUGUUUGAGGGGCAUGUGGGAGAAUAUCCUGUAAGGGUUCAAAUCCCUUCCUGGGCA
rnacentral:tRNA from 1 species